CCUACGGGCGGCAGCAGUAGGGAAUAUUGCUCAAUGGGGGAAACCCUGAAGCAGCAACGCCGCGUGGAGGAUGAAGGUUUUAGGAUUGUAAACUCCUUUUGUUAGAGAAGAUUAUGACGGUAUCUAACGAAUAAGCACCGGCUAACUCCGUGCCAGCAGCCGCGGUAAUACGGAGGGUGCAAGCGUUACUCGGAAUCACUGGGCGUAAAGCGUGCGUAGGCGGGGUAAUAAGUCAGAUGUGAAAUCCUGUAGCUUAACUACAGAACUGCAUUUGAAACUGUUACUCUUGAGUGUGGGAGAGGUAGGUGGAAUUCUUGGUGUAGGGGUAAAAUCCGUAGAGAUCAAGAGGAAUACUCAUUGCGAAGGCGACCUGCUGGAACAUUACUGACGCUGAUGCACGAAAGCGUGGGGAGUAAACAGGAUUAGAUACCCCUGUAGUC
rnacentral:rRNA from 1 species